rnacentral:rRNA from 1 species
GAUGAACGCUGGCGGCGUGCCUAAUACAUGCAAGUCGAGCGAACAGACGAGGAGCUUGCUCCUCUGACGUUAGCGGCGGACGGGUGAGUAACACGUGGAUAACCUACCUAUAAGACUGGGAUAACUUCGGGAAACCGGAGCUAAUACCGGAUAAUAUAUUGAACCGCAUGGUUCAAUAGUGAAAGACGGUUUUGCUGUCACUUAUAGAUGGAUCCGCGCCGCAUUAGCUAGUUGGUAAGGUAACGGCUUACCAAGGCAACGAUGCGUAGCCGACCUGAGAGGGUGAUCGGCCACACUGGAACUGAGACACGGUCCAGACUCCUACGGGAGGCAGCAGUAGGGAAUCUUCCGCAAGGGGCGAAAGCCUGACGGAGCAACGCCGCGUGAGUGAUGAAGGUCUUCGGAUCGUAAAACUCUGUUAUUAGGGAAGAACAAAUGUGUAAGUAACUAUGCACGUCUGGACGGUACCUAAUCAGAAAGCCACGGCUAACUACGU